ensembl:lncRNA
CUCGAAUCAACGCACAGUCCCCGGGACAGGCUGCUCGCUCGAGCGCCCGGUGGUCGCCCUACAUGACACCCCGCACUCAGAAGAUCCGGAUUUUUAAGGAUUUAACUCAAUAACCCUGGAAUCUAAUCUGAUUUACUUUUUUUGUGAGAUAACCCGCAUCGUAUCCUGUGUAGGCUAUGCUAUGCCUGUGUAAACUGUGACCAAGCAGGUAUGCAGUUGAACCGGCCGAAGAGCGCUUUAGUGACGAGCUUCAGCCCGCCGAUGGUCCCGGAGACAGCAGCCAGUAGGAGUACCAGUACGGUUUCCUUCUCCAGACAGUUCAAAACAAUGCGCUUCUCCUACCACAUCAGCAGCGGCAUGCCAAGUCCACAACCACCGCUGCGCGGGAUACGCCCGUCCUCUUCCAGUCCUCGGCUGAUGACUAAGAGCCUGUCUCUGGAUCCUGGUGCUCACGGUGCCUGCCUCGGGGCCCAUGCCGAUGACUCAGACACCCAGACCCCUCGCCUCAGCUCAGACCCCGGAUCCCUAACCUCCGGGUCCCUUGGUCUGCACCCAUCCAUGCCCCUGCUGUACCCAGCUGGACACGGCUGUAACGGAGGAGACAACGGGAGUGGAACUCCUCAGGAAGUGCCCUCCACCGCCCUCAAGAGACGCCCUCCUCUACCUGGGCCUAAACCACAAGUGCCCCCAAAGCCUCCUCACCUGCAGCAGAGUGCUGGUGCUCCUAGGCCCUGCCCCCGCGUCCCGGACAAGCCCCUCCCACCUCCCCCACCCUGCAGACCUCUGCCUGCAGACCCCAGAGGGGGAGGACCCUGCCGACUGCCGACACUCCCCCGCGCCGAGGGACGCUCCUCCCCCACCGCCUGUGUGCUCUCCCUCAUUGAGAAGUUUGAGAGG